UUGGGUGUCUCGUGAGCGCUGCCACGUCAGAGGGAACCAUAACAAUGGCAGCUUCAUACACACAACAAGAGAAUCUCAACCUCCGCUGAAUUACUUCAUCCACAACGGGUUCUUGAGCGACUUUCCUCGAUACAAAGAAAGUGAAUUCUUAGGUCAGUGGCCAGCAUACAACACGAGAGACCAGAUAUGACCAUUGUAUUAGCCUGUCAAGACCGAAGGACUGGUCACCUCAAACUUCAACUGUCUCCAGUGAUGUAUUCGACUGAAGAAACCUGCUGUAUAGGCGAAACUUUUCGUCAGUGAAGAUGGUAAAGUGUUGCACAUGUCUAAUUCAUCAGUUUGUGAGAUAUGUGGAGAGAGACCGCAGCCAUUACCUUGCCUCCUUGCUCACACUCGUAACACUCGCUGACCGGCCGCCCACAUACCCAUAUGUGAGAGGGCCUUUUGAAUAAUGCCAGUUCAGCGCAAUAUGAAUAGACAGUGACUCAGGCAGAGACGGUUGGUCGUUGAGUCAACGGUACACUGGUUACUGGUAACUGGUUACUACUACUGAGAGCUCGGCGACGCUAACGUAUGUCGUCCCGACAUACAACUAAUACAAACUAGAGAUGGCAGGUAUACGGCUUGGGCUGAUUCUAUACAAUGUCAAA